CUCAGUUCAGGCCAGCCUGAUACUCUCACCAAUUAUUACCCCAACUGCUCGGUUUCAAGUUUCCCCACUUUCCUCCAGCUCACAGAUCUGCCUCUCCUGGCUCCUGCUGCCCCACAUAUUGAUGCAUAUUAUCAUCUUACCCUGGGCUUCACUGGAUCAUUGCGCUCCUCUGUGUCACCAGGGUGGACAGGGAGGUCGUGUGGCUCGUCCUGCUUGGUCGUCCUCGUGGAUCCACAGUCUUUACAUAUAUUAUCAUUUGUAUCAGAUAUUCUGUCAAUGCAACUUGUAAACUGUGAUUUUUGUUGAUCUGUUCUGUACAUGCGACAUCUAUUACAUGUCUGUCCGUCCUGGGAGAGGGAUCCCUCCUCUGUG